rnacentral:rRNA from 1 species
CCUACGGGAGGCAGCAGUAGGGAAUCUUCCACAAUGGACGAGAGUCUGAUGGAGCAAUGCCGCGUGAGUGAAGAAGGUUUUCGGAUCGUAAAACUCUGUUGUUGAAGAAGAACAUAUGUGAGAGUAACUGUUCACGUACUGACGGUAUUCAACCAGAAAGCCACGGCUAACUACGUGCCAGCAGCCGCGGUAAU